rnacentral:rRNA from 1 species
AUGGGGGUCUUACACAUGCAGUCGAACGGUGAAGCCAAGCUUGCUUGGUGGAUCAGUGGCGAACGGGUGAGCUAACACGUGAGCAACCUGCCCUGAACUCUGGGAUAAGCGCUGGAAACGGUGUCUAAUACUGGAUAUGAGCUGCGGAGGCAUCUUCGUGGUUGGAAAGAUUUUUCGGUUUGGGAUGGGCUCGCGGCCUAUCAGCUUGUUGGUGAGGUAAUGGCUCACCAAGGCGUCGACGGGUAGCCGGCCUGAGAGGGUGACCGGCCACACUGGGACUGAGACACGGCCCAGACUCCUACGGGAGGCAGCAGUGGGGAAUAUUGCACAAUGGGCGGAAGCCUGAUGCAGCAACGCCGCGUGAGGGAUGACGGCCUUCGGGUUGUAAACCUCUUUUAGCAGGGAAGAAGCGUGAGUGACGGUACCUGCAGAAAAAGCGCCGGCUAACUACGUGCCAGCAGCCGCGGUAAUACGUAGGGCGCAAGCGUUAUCCGGAAUUAUUGGGCGUAAAGAGCUCGUAGGCGGUUUGUCGCGUCUGCUGUGAAAACCCGAGGCUCAACCUCGGGCCUGCAGUGGGUACGGGCAGACUAGAGUGCGGUAGGGGAGAUUGGAAUUCCUGGUGUAGCGGUGGAAUGCGCAGAUAUCAGGAGGAACACCGAUGGCGAAGGCAGAUCUCUGGGCCGUAACUGACGCUGAGGAGCGAAAGGGUGGGGAGCAAACAGGCUUAGAUACCCUGGUAGUCCACCCCGUAACGUUGGGAACUAGUUGUGGGGUCCAUUCCACGGAUUCCGUGACGCAGCUACGCAUUAAGUUCCCCGCCUGGGGAGUACGGCCGCAAGGCUAAAACUCAAGGAAUUGACGGGGACCCGCACAAGCGGCGGAGCAUGCGGAUUAAUUCGAUGCAACGCGAGAACCUUACCAAGGCUUGACAUACACGAGAACGCUGCAGAAAUGUAGAACUCUUUGGACACUCGUGAACAGGUGGUGCAUGGGUUGUCGUCAGCUCGUGUCGUGAGAUGUUGGGUUAAGUCCCGCAACGAGCGCAACCUCGUUCUAUGUUGCCCAGCCACGUAAUGAGGACUCAUGGGAUACUGCCCGGGGAUCACUCGAAGGAGUUGGGAAUGACGUCAAUCAUCAUGCCCCCUUUAAUGACCUUG